rnacentral:lncRNA from 1 species
ACCUAUGAGAAAAGAUCGAUUAUCAGGGUGUUCGCAGCGAACACCUUAAUAAUCGAUUCUUUACCACAGCUCAAAUGGCGAGAUAUCGAUAAUCGAUUAUUCACGCCACGCCACUGACACUCACUGUAAUAAAAAUCUGCGUGAUAUUAAAGUUAUUGUAAGAGGGCUUCACCCCUCAAUCGAAGAGCAAGAUAUUCUUGACGUCUUAAAAAAUAAAGGUUUUAAACCUAAAAAAGCGACAUGCCUCAUGAAACGGGUCCCACUGUCGGGCACGGAACUUAAAGCUUUGAAAAGAUCAGUACCACCUGUGGAUCCAGCUCCACAGACGGCUGUUGAUAAAGAUAACGAGCCUCUUUUUAUUGCUGACUCUGCUUAUGUAAGUAAAACUAAACUAAUAAAAAUGAGUGUCAGCGCUAUAUACGCUCCACCGCGUCAUCGAUGCUCAGUUGACGAUUAUUCUGGUUUACUCGUUAAAUUGGGUCCUCGCUUCCUAAUCGGGGUGGGGUGGGGGCUUCAACUGUAAAAACGUCAGAUAAAGUUCGAGAUUAACUAACCCGAAAGAUGUAAAUUUGAAAACUACCUUCAAUCUGUUCAUAACGUUGCAUUGACAUGAAGUCUUUGCCUCUUCUCCCGCUCAUCAACGCCAAGAAGAGUGUAUUCAGUGGGAAGGGAAGGGAAGGGGUUGACAAUACGAACAGUUCUAGCACUUUGAGGCUCUGAUGGUCAGUAGUUUUAACAUUUGUGUGGAACAAAGGCGUGUGGUUUACUCUCAAUUCCGAACAGUUGAACCUUCGCGUGAUGAAGUGGAGUCGCGAGAAGAGGGACGAAUUCAUUGCGGAGCUGCAGAAGAGACCAUAUCUAUACGAUGAAAAUGAUGAAAAUUACGAAAAUAAAUUCCUACAAUUCCAAGCGCGGAUGGAGCUCAAGUUUCAAUUUAAAACUACAUAUCGUACUAUCGUAGAAAGAAUAAACCGUUUGCAAAAAAGUUAUUUUAAACCUGGUGCAUUACAAAAAUCAUCGUCUCCCACUCUUGAUCAAGCUAAAAAUGAUAUAUCUUCGCCUCGAUCAAAGCCUUUAGACAAGGAUCAGAUCUUGGAAAAAAAUGCAAGUAUGUCUGCAGAAGACGAAGUAAAUAGGAUCAGGCGUUUCCUUGAAGAUGACAGUUUUCUUAAGGUAUCUCCUGCCUGGUAUAUCCCUUGUUCAGACACUUUGUGCUGCAUAUGCUCCACCAAGGAUAAUCAGAAGAUGAAGCUAUCUACAGACAACGAUACAAUAACCAUGACCGAUUAUUAUACCGUCCCGGCCGAACCAGACUCUCAAGUGGGGAGACACUGAUCAAUUUGCAAAGAGAAAUUGUUUCUCCGACAGAGAAACGCGAUAAUCCUACCGUCCCGGCUGAACCAGAUUCUCAAAUGGGAGGGACACUGAUCAAUUUGCAAGGAGGAAUUGUUUCUUUGACAGAGAAGCACACUUCAAUGCCGGAUGAUAUAGCUAUUCGUUCGGAGCAAGUUCAGUUUGAAUCAGAAAAUAUUUCAUCGUUUACUUCGACUUUAACCAAUUCCUUUAUAAAAGCUCACAUCGGGAAUUACGUGUCUGCAAAACUUAAAACUUACGAUGAAAAUGACUCGCUGAAAAUUAUACAAGAGAUAAAAGAAAUAUUCUUUAGAUACGAUUUUUUAAGGGAAACAAAGUGGUAAGUUUCAAAGUAUUCUGAUUUAAGGAUGAAAUAUGAUUUUUCAAUUCCUCAUUUGUCGAAUUGUAAUAGAUAUAAUCAUGCAUGUUAUAAUCAUAGACUACCAUAUCAAAUAGAUGCGAUAAUAAACAUAUGUAACAUUUUUUUAUGAAAUAUAAGCGAAUUGUGUGUUUCUAAUCAUUCUUGUUUAAUACGUACUGAAAUUUUGUCUUAAUCUGCGAUUGAUCGCGCAAGUUUCGAUCGUCGGCGAAACACCACUACCAUCAGAAUCAUCAUUACCAUUACUAUCAUCAUCAUUGGCACGUAAUAAUAAAUCCUUCCCCAAUCCUUUGCCAAAAGAUACGGUUCGAGCAUUCGAAAAACGAUGCAAGCCUAUAUUUUUUUCGUCCACAAAAUUUACAUUGCAUAUUUAACUGAAGUUUACAAUUCAAACAUUUAAAAGUUCUAAUUCUUGACACAAGCAAUGUCACCCUGCUCCGCUAAUUGAAAUAAAAGCGCUGAGCUCCAUUCUCAUACCUACGAGGCACAGUCUGGAGAGGGGGGAAAUUGGGGGUAUACGCCGACGAUACGCUCGUGUUAGCAGCGUCCAAGAAUUAUAGAGAGGCACAGCAUAAUGCAUAAUGUCACC